rnacentral:rRNA from 1 species
UACGGAGGAUCCAAGCGUUAUCCGGAAUCAUUGGGUUUAAAGGGUCCGUAGGCGGUUUACUAAGUCAGUGGUGAAAGCCCAUCGCUCAACGGUGGAACGGCCAUUGAUACUGUUAAACUUGAAUUAUUAGGAAGUAACUAGAAUAUGUAGUGUAGCGGUGAAAUGCUUAGAGAUUACAUGGAAUACCAAUUGCGAAGGCAGGUUACUACUAAUGGAUUGACGCUGAUGGACGAAAGCGUGGGUAGCGAACAGG